AUUGAACGCUGGCGGCAGGCCUAACACAUGCAAGUCGAGCGAGCGGCGGACGGGUGAGCAAUGUAUGGGGACUGCCCGAUAGAGGGGGAUAACUACUGGCAACGGUGGCUAAUACCGCAUACUGUCGGAUAACCCAUAUGGGAUUAGCUAGUAGGUAAGGUAAUGGCUUACCUAGGCGACGAUCCCUAGCUGGUCUGAGCGGCUGAUCAGCCACACUGGGACUGGGACACGGACCGGACUCCUACGGAGGCAGAAGUGGGUAAGAUUGAACAAUGGUCUCAAGCCUGAUGCAGCCAUGCCGCGUGUAUUAAGAAGGCCCUAGGGUUGUAAGGUACUGUCAGUCGGGAGGCGUUACCGUCAGAAGAAGCACCGGCUAACUCCGUGCCAGCAGCCGCGGUAAUAC
rnacentral:rRNA from 1 species